GCAUGGCCAAAUACUGUGUUCUUUUUUAUCAGUUGUUUACAUAGCCAGACAUCAUGCAAAAAAAAUAAGAAAUAAAGCAUUCUUCCCUAUAGAGUGGUUACCAUGGCAUGCUAAGCUUUUCCAUAUCAUUAUUAAAGGGAAAUACAAAU
rnacentral:snoRNA from 2 species